GUAGGUGGCAAGCGUUGUCCGGAAUUAUUGGGCGUAAAGCGCGCGCAGGCGGUUCUUUAAGUCUGAUGUGAAAGCCCACGGCUCAACCGUGGAGGGUCAUUGGAAACUGGAGAACUUGAGUACAGAAGAGGAAAGCGGAAUUCCACGUGUAGCGGUGAAAUGCGUAGAGAUGUGGAGGAACACCAGUGGCGAAGGCGGCUUUCUGGUCUGUAACUGACGCUGAGGCGCGAAAGCGUGGGGAGCAAACAGGGAUUAGAUACCCUGGUAGUCCACGCCGUAAACGUUGAGUGCUAAGUGUUAGGGGGUUUCCCGCCCCUUAGUGCUGCAGCUAACGCAUUAAGCACUCCGCCUGGGGAGUACGGCCGCAAGGCUG
rnacentral:rRNA from 1 species